GGCAUCUGCUAGUUUUGAAAACUUAAGGCGUAGUUUGAAACAUUUUCCAACCACAUUUACCGAAGUUUUCGCUGUCGCGAGACUGAUGCAAGAGAUCUCGGUGUUGGAUUUGAGAUGGUGAAACAGAAAAGAAGCUCCUACGGUUACCAUUUCAAUUUCAGAAGCUCUUCUUCUUCGAUACUCAAAUUCUUCCCCAAGAAACCAUCUUUUUUCACUGUCACGCUUUACAUAGUCAUCCUUCUCUUCUCUUCUUCAGUUCUCAUUUUUCUUUUCAGCAGUAGAAACAUAGUGAAUGAUGACCAUGAUUUUGAUGAACAAAAGCAUAUAUUUACACAGUAUGAUCAAUCUCAGUCUCUGUCUGAAUCUCAAUCUCAGCCUUUGCAGAUUCUACAAGACCAACUUUGGGAUUCUCCUUUUAGCUAUGGUUUACACCCAUGUGUCAAGCCUACGAGUAGAUACAUAGCUUCCAAAGGAUCAAACCGGUACAUUACAGUAAAAUGCAAUGGAGGAUUGAAUCAGAUGCGGACUGGUAUAUCGGACAUGGUGGCUGUGGCACACAUAAUGAAUGCAACACUAGUUAUUCCUCAACUGGAUAGACGUUCAUUCUGGCAAGACACAAGUAAAUUUUCAGAUAUAUUUGAUGAGCUCCAUUUCAUCAAAGCAUUACAAGAAGAUGUGAGGAUUGUCAAGGAGCUCCCAAAAGAACUGGAGUCUGCCCCUCGGGCCCGGAAACACUUCACUUCCUGGUCUGGCAUGGGUUACUAUCAAGAAAUGACACAGUUAUGGAAGGACAAUCAGGUAAUUCAUGUUGCAAAAUCAGAUUCACGACUUGCGAACAAUGAUCUGCCACUUGAUAUACAACGGUUGAGAUGUCGUGCUCUAUAUCAUUCUCUCCGCUUCUCUAUGCCGAUUGAAAUCCUAGGAAAGAAGCUGGUGGAACGGCUGAGAUCACGUGGGGGAAGAUACAUAGCUCUUCAUCUCAGAUACGAGAAAGACAUGCUAUCUUUUACUGGUUGUACUUACGGUCUGACUAAUGCGGAAUCUGAAGAGCUGAGAAUAAUGAGGGAGAACACAAACCAUUGGAAGGUCAAAGUUAUAAAUUCAACGGAACAGAGAAUAUCAGGCUUGUGUCCACUAACUCCUAAGGAAGUGGGGAUAUUUCUUCAAGCUCUUGGUUAUCCAGCCUCAACAUUAAUUUAUAUUGCUGCUGGAGGAAUUUAUGGUGGUAAUGCUCACCUUUCAGAGCUCAUGUCCCGCUUUCCAAACCUAGUUUUUAAGGAGAAUUUGGCUGCUAAUGAAGAGUUGAAGGCAUUUACUAAUCACGCAUCUCAGUAUGCCGCUCUUGAUUACAUAAUUUCCAUAGAGAGUGAUGUGUUCAUCCCAACACAUUCAGGUAAUAUGGCAAGAGCUGUCGAGGGACACCGCAGAUUCUUAGGUCACCGCAAGACGAUCACCCCAGACAGGUAUUAAAGCAGUCAAUCUUCAGGGGCUUUUGAGAAUGAAAAUUCAGACUGCCAAAAUUAAACCUCAACUUGGAAAGGACUUGUUAAACUUUUUGAUAGGCUGGAAAGUGGAAAGCUUAGAGAGGGGCCGUCUUUCUCGUAUCUCGUGCAGGAGAUGCACAAGAACUGGCAAGGGGCCCCGAGGAAAAGGAGAGGACCAUUGCCAGGAAUCAAAGGUCGAGCACGUUUCAGGACAGAAGAAUCUUUUUAUGAAAAUCCAUACCCAGAAUGCAUAUGUGGUCCAAAGACACAUAGAGCAAGAUAAGUCUAUCCGAAUUUCAGAGUUUCUGCAAUUACAAAUUUAUGUCAAGUAAAUAUCUUGGUACCCCAUGACAAGUCUAUUUGAACUUCAAAGAUCCUGACUGGCAAAAAUUUCGAGCCCUGGCUGCACUAGCAUCAGAUUAGGUUUUUAGAUUUGUGUAUGAAUUAGAAACUUCAUGAGUGGUAAAACUAUAUUUCUAUGGUUGUCA